rnacentral:rRNA from 1 species
UAGUUGGUGGGGUAAUGGCUUACCAAGACUAUGACACAUAACUGGUUUGAGAGGAUGAUCAGUCACACUGGAACUGAGACACGGUCCAGACUCCUACGGGAGGCAGCAGUGGGGAAUAUUGCACAAUGGACGAAAGUCUGAUGCAGCAACGCCGCGUGGAGGAUGACACAUUUCGGUGCGUAAACUCCUUUUAUAUGAGAAGAUAAUGACGGUAUUAUAUGAAUAAGCACCGGCUAACUCCGUGCCAGCAGCCGCGGUAAUACGGGGGGUGCAAGCGUUACUCGGAAUCACUGGGCGUAAAGAGCAUGUAGGCGGAUUAAUAAGUUUGAAGUGAAAUCCUAUAGCUUAACUAUAGAACUGCUUUGAAAACUGUUAAUCUAGAAUGUGGGAGAGGUAGAUGGAAUUUCUGGUGUAGGGGUAAAAUCCGUAGAGAUCAGAAGGAAUACCGAUUGCGAAGGCGAUCUACUGGAACAUUAUUGACGCUGAGAUGCGAAAGCGUGGGGAGCAAACAGGAUUAGAUACCCUGGUAGUCCACGCCCUAAACGAUGUACACUAGUUGUUGUGAGACUUGAUC